rnacentral:lncRNA from 1 species
AUAAAAAAAAUCUUAAAAUACUUUUUCAUUACAAUGAUGAUACCAUGACGUCAUUUUCGGAAGAGUUUCUUUAUUUAAAUUCAAAGAAAAUGACAAUUUUUUAUUUCAUUCCACCAUUUCCCACUCCCAGCCUUAACCAGGCAAAUACAUACAGAAUUUGAGAAGCAGACGGGUGGCAUCGGUCACCAUUAGAGAAGGUCACACGAAUUGGGUUCUGAUACAAAAAGGUGAAUCAACGCAUAUCCGGUAGACGUGUGAAGCACGUGAAGUGACACGAUGAACAUAUUUACUGGUUUGUGUCCUUUUAACCCAAAAAACUUUGUUUAUUAUCGUAUCAUUUUGUCCUAUUUAGGCUCCGUUUGAUAAUGCUUAAAAAUCAAUCUUUUUUUAACUUUAUUAUCAAAAAGAUUAUUUUUUUUUGAUUUUUUUGCCUUUUGUAGCUUUUUAUUUUAACUAAAACUAAGCAAACCACAAAAAAAAUAAAAACCAACUCUGAUUGGGCUUUUUUUGCAUUAUUUUUUAAACUAAAAAGUCAAAAAAAAAAAAACUACAAAAAAGCUGAUUCCCAACUGAGCCUUAACUUUGUUUUCUUUAGGCUCUCCGUUUGGUAAUGCUUAAAAAUCAAGAUUUUUUUAAAUUUGUUACUAAAACGUCAGAUUUUUACAUUUUUUUACUUUUUGGAACUUUACUUUACUUUAUCUAAAACUUAGUAAAACAACAAAAAUAGAAAAGUAAAAAAGCCAACUUUGAUUGAUUUUUUUUGCUUAUUUUAAGUCAAAAAAUUAAUAAAAAAGCUAAAAAAAAUUGUACCAAACGGAGCCUUAGUGUUAUUUUUGCAUAAUUACUCAAUUUUGUUCAAUUAAAACAAAAGUAUAGAAUAUCAAAACUAUGAGGAAUAUGGGAAGAGAAAUUGAAAAUAAAUAUAUACGGUGUGAUUGUUCAGUGAUUGACGAUAUUUGUAAGUUACCUGACCGAGCUGCAAUUCAUAAAUAAUGAAAACAGUCGCCGAAACUGUUCCGGAAUUUGCUUUCCGACGGUCAAGUAUGUGACUAGAAGUGUAUAAGAGAAAGAGAGAGAGUUUUAGUCUUGAGAUAGCAAAAAUUGCAUACCUCGACAGAAAAAAAGAGUAAAACCUUUUUAUAACACCGUUCGACAACACACGUGUCAUUACUGUUAGACUGCAACUCGUCCUCACGGACUGCUAUUCAGGAGUAGGUGCUAAUCCCAUCAUACUGUUAGAUUAUCUUUAGAUUAGAUUUAUGUUUAUUUACUUUGUUAUUAGAAGUAAGGUAGAAUAGCAUUUAUUCCCUUUUGUUAUUAGGGUUCUUUAAUCUCUUUAUUUUUCUUGUAUCAUCAAUUCUAAAAUUCUAUGAACCCUAGCCUCCUUUUUCUCUAUGUUCUUGGGAUUCUCACAUGGUAUCCAGAGCAUUGAUCCUGAUGGGCCUCCGCAUCCUAUGAUUGCAUGAAAGGAAGUUUAUCUCAUUCCAGCUUUUAGCCUCUUUUUUUUUUCCGGGUGCCAUUGUUUUUUUUAAGAUCGUAGUUAUCAGUUAUCAGUUUUUUCGCAUCUUUUUUUUCAGAUCGAAUAUUCUCUAGUUGUUGGGAAUUCUAGUAUUAUUAUUUUACGCACUGGAUGUUGAACGGGAGGAUUCUUAUGUUAUCAGCACGAGAUUGGAAUGGGAAGAAUUAUUCGUCUUUCAAUCCCCCACCGCUUCCUUCGCUGAGCAGUUCCAGCAGUUCUUGGUCUUGCACACCAACCAUCUGCUAUAUCUGCCUCAUCCUCUUUCGGUUUGUCUUCUCCAAUUCCUCCUGUAUGGUUUCGUCUUUGUGGUUUUUGACUCUGGCACUCCAUCACAUGUCACCAGACUCUGUCUGUUUUUAUUUCAUUGCUCCUGCAUCAACCUUAUCUGUCAUGAAACUGCUUAUGGAACCACCCCUAUGCAUUAGCGGGUGUUGGGAUCUGUAAUUGUCAACUAAUAUAUUUCUUUCUAACGUGUAUCACAUUCCUAGUCUUUCCUUAAAUCUUGUUUCUGUUAGUCCCAUUGUGUACUCUGGUUAUUUGAUUUUUUUUUCUUUCCACUUCUUGUGCAAGUGCGGACUCGCAAACCCCGAAGCUUAUUGGGACAUGCCAUAAGCAAGGGGGAUUAUAUAUCUUGGACCAACUGAGUGUACCUGCAGUUGCUGCUACUGGUGUCGAUUUGAUAUCUUUUCGUUUUAGUCCUUCUUUUUCUUCUAGUUUUUAAUUUAUGGCAUUCUCGUCUAGGUCAUGUCUCGUCUUUCUCGUUUAAAGUAUUUACCUCUAAACCGGAGCCUUAGGUUCAGCACAUGUAUAUUUCUACUUGCAGUGGUUGUAAACUAUCAAAAUUUCCUCUUUCUUCUGCCCUACCGUUUUAAUAGAAGUAUCUUUUAUUCUCUGCAAACCUUUUGAUUUAGUUCAUUCUGAUGUGUGGGGACGUUGUCCUAUUGCUACGCAAAGGCGGUCCCAUUAUUAUGUUUUCUUUUAUUGAGAUUACACUCGUUAUUGUUGGUUUAGCUUAUGAAAUCGUUCUGAAUUUUUGGGUAUUUAUAAAUCCUUUCGUGCUCUCGGUGAAAACACAACAUUCUGUUUUUAUCAAAUGUUUUCGGUGUGAUUUUGGUGUGAAUUAUACUUCUAAUGAAUUUUCUGAGUUUGCUUGUGUUAGAUGGAACUAUUCAUCAAUCCUCUUGUACUGAUACUCCAGACAAAUGGUGUUGCGAAAGGAAACAUCGUCAUAUUGGUUUUGAAACUAUGCCCUGCCCGAUCUCUACUUACUGUCUGCUUUGGUUCCUAGUACUUUCUUCUUCUGGGGUGAGGCAGUUCUCAACUGCUACCACAGACCGGUCAUUAUAUGAUCCCAUCAUCUCAUAUUUCAGGAAUGUCUCCUUUUUGAAAAUUGAUGGGUCGUCCUCCAGAUUCUUCUUCUUUUAAGAUUCUUGGUUAUACUUUGUUUGUGCUUCGUCCUCAUGUAUAACUUAGUAAGUUGUCUUCUCGUUCUGCCACACUUUGUGUUUUUCUCUGGAUAUGGUGAGGUCAAAAAGGAUAUCGUUGUUUUGAUCCUGUUACUACUUUUCAGAAAUUAAUAUGUGUCCCCGUCAUGUUGUGUUCCUUGAGCCUAUCCUUUCUUUCUUUCUCUAUUUCCUGAUAGUAACCUCAUAACUUGACUACAUCUGAUCUCAUUUCGCAUUGACCCUUUUUUUUGAGAUUUCAGAUAGAUAGUUACGUCCAUCCUCCCUCCCUACCAGACAUUGGUAUUUCCGCUUCUGAUGCUCCGAUCACAUCCGCGCAGCCCUCUACCUACACCAACACAUCUGAGAUUGUGGAUCCUCCUCAGCCUCUGCCUACCCAAGUAACUUCUGAGAUUGUUGAUCCUCUUCCCCUCGCUAUCCUAAGCGCAUUCCGUCAAGUCUACCUACUAAUUUGCUAGAUUUUCUUAUUUUUGUUAUCUGUUCUUUUGCUUCUUCGUAGCCACUUAUUCACAAUGUUUUUUUGAGCUCUAUCGUAUAAAGAGGUUUUCUUGAUCCCCUUUGGCAGCAGGCUAUGCCGAGAAACUUUCUGUUUGCAUAACAACUGGUCUUUGAGAUUUGGUACCUUUACCAAUCUUCCUUAAGAUAAAAUUGUUUCUCGGUGGGUCUACAAAAGCAAAACCAAGGCUGAUGGUUUCUAUUUGAGGGUCGAUACCCGCUCGUUGGGUAGCCAAAAAUUUUUUCCAACAGUUGGUAUGGAUUAUGAAUAGACUUUUGCCUCAAGUUUUACAAACAUGACUACUAUUCGUACUCUUAUUGUAGUUUUCAUCUAUUCGUCAGGGCAUAUUUCUCAAUGGAUGUUAAGAAUGCCUUCCGUGAAUGGCGAUCUUCAAGAAAAGUUUCUAUGACUCCCCCACCUGGUGUUGCCCACAAUUUUGAGAAGUUUGUUAAACUUAAAAAGCUUAUAUGGUCUCAAGCAUACACACCGUGCCAUGUCUUGGUGUGGCGUGAAAAUUCUCUAACUUUGAUUCCAUCCUUUUGGUUUUCGAUCCAGCAUCAUAUUCUGCUCUUUUUUAUAAAAGUCACUACUGUUCGGUCCGUAGCUUCUUUCAUUAUAUGUUGAUGACAGGGUGAUUAGCAGGUGAUGAUGUGGCUAGAAAUUGACCGAUUGAAAUUAGAAUUUUGGCUUCUCGAUUUGAAAUGAAGGAUUUGGGACCUCUACGUAUUUUUUUGACAUAGAAGUAGCCUUUUCACCUAAGGGUUAUCUACUUUUACAGUCUAAGUACAUUGCAAGACAUUCUUGAGCGUGCUCGUCUUACUGAUAUAAGACUGUCCAGACUCCUCUUUGAACUUAAUGUUCGGAUAUUCUCGCGACUGAUGGGUACUACCUUUCACCUGAUCCUUCUUUAUAUCGUACUAUUGUUGGAAGUUUGGUCUAUCUCACUAUUAUCUCUCCCAGACAUUGCAUAUAUGCUGUUUCAUAUUGUUAGUCAGUUUGUUACUAGUCUCCGAACUAUCAUUGUGCUUCUCAUUCGUAUUUUGAGGUACCUUACGUGUUAUCAAUUUCAAGUCUUUUACGUACUUUCCACUUUUAUCUUUACAAUGUGUGCAUAUUCUGAUGCUGAUUGGGCUAGUGAUCUUGGUUGAUCACAAAUCUAUCACUACUGGAUUCUGUUCUUUUUGGGUGAUUCUCUUAUUCUCUUAGAAGAGUAAGACAGCUGUUGUUUCAAAUCUUCAAACAGAAGCUGAGUAUCGUGCAUGAUGGCCUCUCCUACUCACAGAGAUAUUUGGUUCCGGUGGUUACUAAUGCUGACAUGGGUGUUUCUCUGUUCUUCUUCUCCCCUCUAUGUUUUGUGACAAUAAAGUGCUAUACAGAUUGCCCAUAUUCUGUUUUUCAUGAGCAACCAAGGCAUAUCGAGAAUUGCUUGUCAUCUUACUUGUCUCAUUUGCAGCAUGGCACUAUUAUUUUCCUUUUGUCUCUUCAUCUAUGCACUUGCUGAUUUAUUUACCAAAGUCACAUCCGCUUCGCGCUUGUGUUUUUUGGUUGGCAAACUCUCGAUACUUUUUACACUGUAUCGUGAGUUUGAGGGGGGCUGUUAGAUUAUAUUUUAGAUUAUAUUUAUGUUUUUAAUUUACUUGUUAUUAUCAGUAAUGGUAGAAUAGUAAUUUAAUUAACCUUUGUUAUUAGGGUAUUCAACUCUUUUUAUUUUUCUUGUAUCAUCAUCUAAAUUCCUAUGAAACCUAUGCCUCCUUUUUCUCUAGGUUCUUGUAUCUCACACAAUACCAUUAAAAAAUAAUUGGUAACUCCCUAUCAUGUUUGCUAAGUGUCCCCUCAAUCUAGGCUUAGGUGUCAAAGGACGUUUUGCCGUGCAAGUUAUCUUCUAUCUCGAUAUACCGCUGAGAUUACCGCCGACUAUUGCAUCUCGAUCGAGCUUGCUAUGAACGACAACCCGAUAAAAGUGUUUGUCCUACCUCGACCAAAGUUGUUGAUAUUUUAUCUCCUUGCAAAAAUCAUAUAAAGGUGGCAAGUUUGACAUAACUAAAGUUAUUUCUAAAUUUAGCAUAACAGCCUGCUUAUUUCAUUGUUUUAUAAUGUGAAAUUAUGCCAUACUAAUAGUUGAUUGGGUGAUGGGAUCACCAAUUCCACCGCAAAGGUCACAGUCAAUGUGACGUGCUACAACACAACAUCAAUGCACCGUCGUUUUCAUCCUCUCACACAGCUGUGGUUAAUGCACUGUUUUUUCUUAUAUAAUUUUUGGAUAAAUGUAAUAAAAAAUGUUAUUAUCAUUUAUUUUCAUCAUUUUUGUUUAUGACAUAACACAUUCUCAACUAGGCUUCAUUUGGAACCAGCUUAUUUGAGCUUUUCGAUUAACUUUUUUAUUUAAAAUAAGCAAAAAAAACAGUCAAAGUUAUUUUUUUUUGCUUAUUUGCUUAUUUUUAUCUAAAGUAAAGUCAGAAAAAUAAAAAAAAUAAAAAAUCUUAAUUUUUUUGAUAGUAAGCUUAAAAAAACUUGACUUUUAAGCAUUACCAAACGGAGCCUUACUACAAUUGAUCGUGUUUCCCAACAAAAUCAGCAAUGGCAACAAUUAUGUUCGUUGUAAAUAUUUAAUAACUUUAUUAUUUUCUUAUUUUUCCUUUUUUCGACACGUCCUUACCAAAUUUACGAUUCAAAUACAAGUUCGACAACAUUGAGCUCAAGAACACAACCACCAAGAUAAUAAUACUCUCAACUGAAUGCCACGAAACCAACCGAUCAUGUCUACCUUAGUUGUUGUAGACAAGUAGAAUGCAUACAAUGCUGGGUCAACUAGGGGUGUUACAGAUCAUUUAAGAGGAGUUGUUGAAAUCUUUUUGUUAGGUGUAUCAUUCAAGUCAUGACCUGCCCCAAGGACCAUUUGCAUGCCCCCUAAGUCAUGAACCAAACAUUUUUCAAACUUUGAGUGGAAAAAACCAGGAGAAUAUUAUCUUUACUUUGUGUAAGGAGAUGGUUUUGGCAUACUUAGUUUGGUUAAUUUGUUUGGUUGAGUUUAAACGACGACAAUGAAAUUCAACAAUUUUACUCCAAAAAUUACUUAAUACUCCAAAUCAUCGUAGGGGAACUCUCUCUGUUUAAGGGAAAAAAGGGGAAAAUUACACUGAUCUCUCCUGAGGUUCCGGGUUAAUACACAAAGUACCCUUAACGUUUAAUAAAUUACAAUGACCUCCCCUGAGGUUUGGAACUUGUAACAGAUUUUCUCAUUUUACACUAGACCAACUCCUGAGGUUAUGGGUUAAUACCCAAAGCAACCCUGACAAAGUUACUUCUUUUUGUCUUUUUUACAAAUGAUAUUGAUUUGACAUUAGGGGUGCUUUGUGUAUUAACCAAAAAUUUCAAGGAUGGUCAGUGUAAAAUGAGAGAAUCUGUUACAAGUUUUAAACCUCAGGAAAGGUUAUUGUAAUUUCUUAAACGUAUUUUAUGUAUUAAUCCCGAAUCUCAGGAGAUGUCAAUGUAUUUCAACCAAAAAAAAUAGCACCGUCAAGGUCUAGUAAGAAUGCAAAACAAACUAUUUGACUUAGUGGCAUACCAUGUGUCAGGAAUUUUUUGAUUGCAAAACUUUUAUCUCUGUCUCAAUACUUUCAAAGUUGCAUGGUGGUGCCCUGAAAUUCAUGGGAGUCACUUCAGCUAAGAUCAAUUGAUCCUAUUGAAAAAAAAAAUUAUAUUAUUAUUUUAAUAUAAUUUAUUAUAAAUAUAAUUUUAAAAAAAAUAAUAAUUUAUCUUAAAUUUUAAAAAUUUUAUAAUUUUGAUAUCGCUGAACAUAAAUUUUGUCAAUUUUAACUCUAUUAAACUUAAGUCCUGACAAUUUUAAUUCAAUAAAAAAUUAAUAAUUUAUCCUAAUUUUUAUAAAUUUUAUAAUUUUAAUAUCAUUAAAUUUAAGUUUUUGCUCCGCCACCGUACGGUGUCAACCGACAUUGUUGUCAUGUAAUGAAAAAGGUUUUUGGGUUGGGGGAGCACAAGACAAAGUGGUGGUCCUCCUUGAUUCC